rnacentral:rRNA from 1 species
UUAUGGCUCAGGAUGAACGCUAGCGGCAGGCUUAACACAUGCAAGUCGAGGGGCAGCGGGAUGUAGCAAUACAUUGCCGGCGACCGGCGGAUGGGUGCGUAACGCGUAUGCAACCUACCUUAUACAGGGGAAUAACCUUUCGAAAGGGAGACUAACACCCCAUAGUAUUGAUUUAAGGCAUCUUAGAUUAAUUAAAUAUUUAUAGGUAUAAGAUGGGCAUGCGUAUGAUUAGCUAGUUGGUAAGGUAACGGCUUACCAAGGCGACGAUCAUUAGGGGUUCUGAGAGGAAGGUCCCCCACACUGGUACUGAGACACGGACCAGACUCCUACGGGAGGCAGCAGUGAGGAAUAUUGGUCAAUGGGCGCAAGCCUGAACCAGCCAUGCCGCGUGCAAGGAAGACGGCCUUAUGGGUUGUAAACUGCUUUUACAUAAGACUAACCGUAUAUUUGCGAAUAUACCUGAAUGUAUUAUGAGAAUAAGGAUCGGCUAACUCCGUGCCAGCAGCUGC